UACGUAGGGUGCAAGCGUUAAUCGGAAUUACUGGGCGUAAAGCGUGCGCAGGCGGUUAUGCAAGACAGAGGUGAAAUCCCCGGGCUCAACCUGGGAACUGCCUUUGUGACUGCAUAGCUAGAGUACGGUAGAUGGGGAUGGAAUUCCGCGUGUAGCAGUGAAAUGCGUAGAUAUGCGGAGGAACACCGAUGGCGAAGGCAAUCCCCUGGACCUGUACUGACGCUCAUGCACGAAAGCGUGGGGAGCAAACAGG
rnacentral:rRNA from 1 species